UACGUAGGGGGCGAGCGUUGUCCGGAUUUAUUGGGCGUAAAGAGCGUGUAGGCGGCCAGGUAGGUCUGCUGUGAAAACUCGAGGCUCAACCUCGAGACGUCGGCGGAAACCAUCUGGCUAGAGUCCGGAAGAGGAGAGUGGAAUUCCUGGUGUAGCGGUGAAAUGCGCAGAUAUCAGGAAGAACACCCGUGGCGAAGGCGGCUCGCUGGGACGUUACUGACACUGAGGCGCGAAAGCGUGGGGAGCGAACAGG
rnacentral:rRNA from 1 species